UACGAAGGGUGCAAGCGUUACUCGGAAUUACUGGGCGUAAAGCGUGCGCAGGCGGCGCGUUAAGACAGGUGUGAAAGCCCCGAGCUUAACUUGGGAAUUGCGCUUGUGACUGGCGAGCUGGAGUGUGGCAGAGGGAGGUGGAAUUCCACGUGUAGCAGUGAAAUGCGUAGAGAUGUGGAGGAACACCGAUGGCGAAGGCAGCCUCCUGGGCCAGCACUGACGCUCAUGCACGAAAGCGUGGGGAGCAAACAGG
rnacentral:rRNA from 1 species